UACAGAGGGGGCAAGCGUUGUUCGGAAUUACUGGGCGUAAAGGGCGCGUAGGUGGCCUUCUAAGUUGAACGUGAAAUCCCUGGGCUCAACCCAGGAACUGCGUCCGAUACUGGCAGGCUUGAAUCCGGGAGAGGGAUGCGGAAUUCCAGGUGUAGCGGUGAAAUGCGUAGAUAUCUGGAGGAACACCGGUGGCGAAGGCGGCAUCCUGGACCGGCAUUGACGCUGAGGCGCGAAAGCCAGGGGAGCAAACGGG
rnacentral:rRNA from 1 species